GAACCACUGCACUGUACGCAUCUCAAGUGUAUUGCACUCUUCACACACACACACACACACACACACACACACGUAUGCAUACACACUGAUACUACCGUACGCCGAAGGUUGUCCAAUCGCUCCUCUUUCAAUCCUCCUCAGCUACACUGACGCCUCUUUUUUCUUUUUCUUCUUCCGUGAUUGCCAAACUCUUGACUUAAUAUAUGCAUAUAUAUGUGUGUGUGUGUGUUUUGUUUCUCAUCUGUGGUUUCACUGCUUAUAGCUCUCCCUUCACACUAAUCCGCACAGGAAGGAAAGGUCGCGGCACAUCUGUGCAGCUCUCACACCAUCGCUCUCUCUCUCUCUCGCCUUUCUAAUUUUGCUCGCAGACCUCUCUCCUGCAGCGGCGCUCCAGCGUUCAAAGGACACCAUCAGUGAAGGACAUACAAAAAGAAAACGGCUACAAAGGCAAGCCAGAUGCUUACUGCCGCGAACGAUAAUCAGGUGGAGCCGCCGGUGCUGGCCGCAAAUCCGAAGAGUGCGCCAACGGUCAGCGUGGCGGACCUGCCAAGUGUGGCCGACGCGACAAACGCACCCGCCGCGCCGGCGCCGGUGCUGAACACAAACACCGUCAUCAAGAAGUUUUCCUGCUUGCAAAGCCUGCGCUUUGACGCUCUCAUGUCCGCAGCCGUUGUGGAGUUUAUCGGGACGUUUUUAUUGGUGCUGACCGUGCCUCUCAGCGUCAUCCAGAAUGCAGAGAUGGCACCCAUCAGCAUUGGCUUCCUGCUCAUGUCACUAGUCUUCUCCUUCGGCUACCUCAGUGGCGGCCACAUUAACCCAAUGGUGACCGUCUCGGUGUGGCUGGCCACCUCCAACGGUGAGGGCUACGCCACUUUCAACAAGCGCCGACUCAUCAUGUACUUGGUCGCGCAGAUGGCGGGUGGUGUGACGGCUGCCUUCUACUGCAUGAUGAUCAACGGUCGGGACUUCCCGGUGCCGAACAUGGGGCGAAGCUUCAACAGGAUGUUGCGCGGCUUCCUCGCCGAAAGUGUGUUUACGUUUGUUCUCUGCUCUGUUGUCCUGCACGUCGCGAUCAGCCAGCAGCGCAACAACAACUUCUACGGCUUCGCCAUUGGCUUCUCGGUGUUGUGUGGAGGCUUGACGUGUGGACCGAUUAGCGGUGGUGUCUUCAACCCCGCCGUGGCUACACCUCUCAUUGUGGUGAGGUGCUUAUUCUCUUUCAACGAGGCUGCGUGCACGCCGAUGGCAUCCCUGUGGGUCUACUGGGCCUCUGAGGCGGUCGGGGCAGUGUGUGCGUCGAUCAUGUACCUGGCGCUGCAGAACUUGGGGGAUGAGGUCUAAGCGGACGAGCACAAACCCUACGAUGGCUUAUGCGCAACUACGAGAGCGCGCAGGCGCCAAUGACCUCUCCAUUUGUGGGUUUAGGUGUUUUCCUGAUAUUUCUUUCGCGCUUCUCCAGCUCGGUUGCCUUCUCCGCAGCCCACCCGCCUUUUUGUCGAGGUGUACAGAGAGAGAGAGAGAGCACACCAAGAGUCGAGGAUCGCGGGAGACUUGCCGCUAGACAUCGAUGUUAGCACAUUGAUGUGGUUCGUUCCAUCAUCCCGUUCAACACGACCCCACUCCCAUACGAAGACGAUAGAAUGCAUAAGGGGAUGAUGGCUAGCGAAGUCUGAAGCAGCAUCGUUCUAGUGCAUCGAUCGAUACGCAAAACAAACCAUGACGUCGUACCAGCGGGCACAGCGAUAACGCGACUCUUCCUCUUUAAGAUGGUCUUGCUUCAUGCACGUUCCCUUCCCUUUGUUCCCAGCCCUGCGGCCGGAUGUGCAACGAAAAAAAAACAAAAUUGCGAAACGAGUGCACAUAAUGGAUGCAGGAUUACCUCUCCUUGUGUGCGCGGGUGUGUCUGUGUGGAUGUAGCGCCUUCUUGAAGGCUUGCUUUCGCCCAUUCCCUCUACUCGCUGUGACACACACACACACACACACACACACACACGCACACGCACACGUACACGUACACGCACGCACGUAUGCGCACACCGCGCGCUCUCUUUUUCCUUUUCUGCCACUUGAAUGCGCCCUUUGUUCUGUUUUGCUCUUCAGCCGCUUCUUCUAUUCCCCUUUCGAGCGUCGUUUUCAGCACCUUCGUCGAUGUCCCCCUCUUUCUCUUAUGUGCCUUUCCUGUUGUUGCCCUGUGCUCUGCACUUCUUGGGUGCGGGCGCCGUUUGAAAGUUGAACUUGUCGGCGUUUUUCGUGCGCUUCACAAAAAGAGGGAUGGAGGUGCCUCACAGCGCGUCCCUCACCUUCGCAGGGCAGAUGACGGGAUGUGCUACUGAAGACUGUUGUCACCUCCCCUCUUUUUUUUUCUGUCUGCAGCUUCGCCAUCAAGGGUGAAGGGCUCUACUACUAGUACUGCGGGCAAACGGAGAUAAGACGAACACAGCACGACAGGCGUAAACUCUUGCACGCACUCUGCACCGGAGUGGAGCAUCGCUUACAGGGGACUUCCUCCUCUUUCUUCCCGUUGUGCCUCCUCACGCCCCGGACUAUACUGAGGGUUUGGAAAAAUUCUGCACAGGAAGCCUGUGAGCCCACAAGACAACCGUGCGCCGUUCUCCUUUCCCUUUUUUGAAAGACCAUCUCCAUUUUGCGCACCCAAAUCAAACGUCGCCCACAACCGUCGGUCCCAGAACGAAAAACCAGCCUCCCUCUUCAGCUGCCGGCUGACUGCAUCUACCGGCGAAAAACCCCAGGAAACGCCGCCUCUUGACUCUGCAGGCCACCGCUGCCACUUCCG
rnacentral:misc_RNA from 1 species